rnacentral:lncRNA from 1 species
AUGGAAAACAGGCAGAAAGAGAAAAAAAUAAUCAAAACUCCAGAAAAUGAGUCUGAUGCACAAUUUGAGGGACAUCUAUGAAGGCCUGAUGUUCAGCGCCACAGAAUGCCCAGGCAUCCCAGGAGAGAAAAGGUUAGGUCUGAACCACACUUUUGAUUUGGAGCAAUAUUCUCCAUAGAGCCAUAAUGUUCGGAACAGACGGAGGGAAAAAGAGGACGACCCGUGACCAGAUGGAUCUUUGAUAAAAACCAAACCAGAACUUUCACUGUGGAGCCAGGGAUGAGACUGAGGUUAUCGUACUUUGGAAACAUCAUGGGAACACUGGAUUCUACAGAAAAGGCAGUGAUGGAGGAAAAGAUAGAGGAAAGAGAAGAGGAUGAGCAGCAACCAGAUGGAAGGACUCAAUAACAGCGAAAGUUCUUUAACACCAAGGACACGACUGCAACACAGCACUUUCUGAAGCACUGAACUUUAGCAAUAUGUGGUCAGGAAGAGUCCAGAUCUAAUCAACAGCACUUAGUAAGAACCACGGCGCCGACAGCUGACUUUUCAUGCUGCAUUUCCCUCGUUCAUUCAUCUCUUGAGGACGUUCAUACUUAGAAAUUCAUCUGUCUGAUCUAAGUUCAGGACUUCAUCAGGUCUCCUCCUGUGCUGAGAGAUACGACGGCUCCUCUACCAAAGGCAGAGGUGGUGCACGGUGCAGAGGAGUAAUGCACAAAGAAUUACAGCUAUAUCAUUCAUACUGUUGUCAAGGAGACGGAUUCCUGAAAACACAGAGUGGGAAACACAGAACCUGUCCACCCAGAGGAGCUUCACUGCAGUGAGAGUUCUUGCUGGAGCCUUUUCUAGAAGGUUCCUCACAGAGAGCCGGGCGGGAGCCCUCCAUCCAGCCCAAGGUCUCCCGUGGACGAGAUGCUCAGUCUGUGCGUUUUGCGCACCGCAUUCCACCCAAAGCCCGUCCGCGCUCCCCAGCCGCAUCCACGUUGGCUGGGUGCAGGAUCUCAACCUUUCAGAUGUUUGUUUUAGGCCACCUCUCAGAAAAGGCCAUGGUCCAGUUCAGAGUACCCAACCUGCCACUGCUGACCAUCAUCCUCACCAAUUCCCAUCGUCACCAGCUAUUGGACACCCUCCCAUGUCUCCAGUUCAGGCCCAACCUCAACCUCAAGGCUCUACCUCUCCCCUGCAGGACCGCAUGGGGGGCAGCUGUGUGCCGGCCAGCCUCCCUUUCCUGGAGCAUUCCCUGGAGGGGCUGCACAAAUGGCUGGACCCCCACAGAAGAAGCCAGACCCAGACUCCUUUCCUAGCCAGCCAUGCCAGCUCGCGGUUCAUCCGAUGCACGGCCUACUCCUUACCCUGCACAGCAGAUCUGGCCAAACAGUGCUACAUCCCCCUGGCUGCUGUCAUCAAGCCGUUUGCCAUGGGUCCCAAUAAUGAGGUAGGACGUCAAAUUUCACACAGUCGAUUUGUCUUCCUAGACAGCACUGUGUUGCGCCACGAGGAUUCAGCCAAACUGACAAAUGGG